CACCAUUAAGUGAGUGGAUGGCAAUGGUCAAGAAUGACCUUAUAAUAUGUGUUAUACAUUAUAUUUUAACAAAGGUUAAUUAAGUAAAUUAAUUAUUAUGGUUAUUAUAUGUUAAAUAUAACAAAUUUAAAACAUGUUCUUCAUCUUUUUCUACCGAAACUAAGAGAGAAAACAAGGGUUUAAAGCUUUGGAAAAAUUCGG
rnacentral:lncRNA from 1 species